rnacentral:lncRNA from 1 species
GAGUCAGCACGAGUCAUCUGGUUCCAGUGACAAUGAAGACUGAGGUGUCUGCUUUGCAGUUUUUUUUUUUCUUUUCUUGUCUUUUUUUUUUUUUUUCCUAAUCAUGUGGACAUCUCUGAGAAUGAGGGGACUGGGUGACUUUGCAGUGUCUGCUUUCUAAGUUUCAAAGUGACUUUCCAGGCAAGCUGCGCAUAUCUUGGGAUCUUCACAGCACAGUGGCUGGGAAGGCAGGCGGACCCGUCUAUCAGCUUCUCCCUGAAUAACUGGGAGCUGAAACAGGAAGCCCCAUGACACAGUUGAUCGAAAAUGACACAGACACAGAAAAAUCAGGACGUGCCCCCAGCAGCACCCCUACCUGCUGCCUGCUGAUCACGGCUGGGAGGCCCGUCCAGGGUUCCCACCCGGGAACGGACUCUUAGCUACUCAGUGCUCACGGGUGCUGGGCCUGCAGAGCUUUUCGGAUGCUCUCUUACAGCUGGUUUGUUAUCUUUUAAUCAAUCAACUAAUUAAUCUAUUACUUUAUUUAUUGGCCCUCCCCAUGUCUUGAUCCUUUCUUCAUUAAAAGCAAAAGGAAAGAA